ACGGAUCCUUCGGGAUUAGUGGCAGACGGGUGAGUAACGCGUGGGAAGCUACCUUGUGGUAGGGAACAACAGUUGGAAACGACUGCUAAUACCCUAUGAGCCCUAUGGGGGAAAGAUUUAUCGCCAUGAGAUGUGCCCGCGUUAGAUUAGCUAGUUGGUAAGGUAAUGGCUUACCAAGGCGACGAUCUAUAGCUGGUCUGAGAGGAUGAUCAGCCACACUGGGACUGAGACACGGCCCAGACUCCUACGGGAGGCAGCAGUGGGGAAUAUUGGACAAUGGGGGCAACCCUGAUCCAGCCAUGCCGCGUGAGUGAUGACGGCCUUAGGGUUGUAAAGCUCUUUCAGCAGUGAAGAUAAUGACAUUAACUGCAGAAGAAGCCCCGGCUAACUUCGUGCCAGCAGCCGCGGUAAUACGAAGGGGGCUAGCGUUGUUCGGAAUCACUGGGCGUAAAGCGUACGUAGGCGGACUGAUCAGUCAGGGGUGAAAUCCCGGGGCUCAACCCCGGAACUGCCUUUGAUACUGUCAGUCUUGAGAUCGAGAGAGGUGAGUGGAACUCCGAGUGUAGAGGUGAAAUUCGUAGAUAUUCGGAAGAACACCAGUGGCGAAGGCGGCUCACUGGCUCGAUACUGACGCUGAGGU
rnacentral:rRNA from 1 species